rnacentral:rRNA from 1 species
AGGGAAUAUUGGACAAUGGGUGCGAGCCUGAUCCAGCCAUGCCGCGUGCAGGAAGACGGCCUUCUGGGUUGUAAACUGCUUUUGCCAGGGGAUAAAAAGUCCCUGCGGGGAAAAUUGAAGGUACCUGGUGAAUAAGCCACGGCUAACUACGUGCCAGCAGCCGCGGUAAUACGUAGGUGGCAAGCGUUGUCCGGAUUUAUUGGGUUUAAAGGGUGCGUAGGUUGUGUUGUAAGUCAGUGGUGAAAUCCGGCAGCUUAACUGUCGAUGUGCCAUUGAUACUGCAGCACUUGAGUACAGACGAGGUAGGCGGAAUUGACGGUGUAGCGGUGAAAUGCUUAGAUAUCGUCAAGAACACCGAUAGCGAAGGCAGCUUACUAGACUGUAACUGACACUGAUGCACGAAAGUGUGGGGAUCAAAC